rnacentral:rRNA from 1 species
GUAGUCCAUGCCGUAAACGAUGUCUACUAGCCGUUGGGGUCUUUGAGACCUUAGUGGCGCAGCUAACGCGAUAAGUAGACCGCCUGGGGAGUACGGUCGCAAGACUAAAACUCAAAUGAAUUGACGGGGGCCCGCACAAGCGGUGGAGCAUGUGGUUUAAUUCGAUGCAACGCGAAGAACCUUACCUGGCCUUGACAUACUAGAAACUUUCCAGAGAUGGAUUGGUGCCUUCGGGAAUCUAGAUACAGGUGCUGCAUGGCUGUCGUCAGCUCGUGUCGUGAGAUGUUGGGUUAAGUCCCGCAACGAGCGCAACCCUUUUCCUUAUUUGCCAGCACUUCGGGUGGGAACUUUAAGGAUACUGCCAGUGACAAACUGGA